rnacentral:lncRNA from 1 species
CCCUCUUCUACCUCUUUGCACUUCGUUUUGUUCUAUGUCUGUUAUGUGCUAUUAUUGCUGCAUAAUUGAAUAAGCCUGGUCAACCUACUUUUUCUAUUUUGUGUUGCUCUGAUUAUGUUAAAAAGUACACAUUUUGUCAAAAUUGUGGAAAUUUUAUAAUUUAAAGUGUUUAUAAUUAGAAUGGAGAACACAGAGCAGAAGAGGCUAGUAUUUCUUUCCACGACUGAAUUCAAUUCUUGGUUUUUCAAUCCUUUAUUUAUUGAAUCUUUAGUUUGUUUCUUUGCUUUUUCACAUGGGAGGUUCUUGGAUUUUUUAUUGACUCUUUAUUGUCUUUCCCUGUAAUUUGAAGACUGUAGAGUGGCCUUCUGGGCUUAGACAUCUCAAUUUAGAUCAAAAAGUGUUCAAUGAGAUCUAGCUAAUUUACAUGUAUCUGAUCUUCUUGAUGUCUGAAUUCUUGAUUUAUGCACGAUGUCUCUGUGUAAUCAAUCAAUGUGAGCAAAAAGCAUAACCAAAUGACCUCUGUUUGAAUGGCUCAUAUAAAUGGUUACUAAUUUGAAAGUCCAGUGCUUAUAAUGCUCUAAAUAUGAUUUCUAAUCAUGAUUUGCCAUUAAUUUAGGCUCAAGAUCCAUGGUGAGCUUUGAGGAUGUUCAUCAAGUAAAUGGAUCAACCCGGCCUUUUUUCCGCACUUUUGAUCAAGAUGAGAAUGGUGAUGAUGAAUUGGAUGAGUAUUUUCAUCAACCUGAAAAGAAAAGAAGACUUUCCGUUGAUCAAGUUCAUUUUCUUGAAAAAAGUUUUGAGGUUGAGAACAAGCUGGAACCUGAAAGGAAAAUCCAGCUUGCAAAGGAACUUGGCCUACAGCCUAGGCAGGUUGCCAUAUGGUUUCAAAACCGCAGGGCAAGAUGGAAGACAAAACAGCUGGAGAAAGAUUAUGAGGCAUUGCACACUAGCUAUAACAGCCUUAAGGCU